CGUACACUCCUGCGGGAGGCAGCAGUGGGGAAUUUUGGACAAUGGGCGAAAGCCUGAUCCAGCCAUGCCGCGUGCAGGAUGAAGGCCUUCGGGUUGUAAACUGCUUUUGUACGGAACGAAACGGCCUUUUCUAAUAAAGAGGGCUAAUGACGGUACCGUAAGAAUAAGCACCGGCUAACUACGUGCCAGCAGCCGCGGUAAUACGUAGGGUGCAAGCGUUAAUCGGAAUUACUGGGCGUAAAGCGUGCGCAGGCGGUUAUGUAAGACAGUUGUGAAAUCCCCGGGCUCAACCUGGGAACUGCAUCUGUGACUGCAUAGCUAGAGUACGGUAGAGGGGGAUGGAAUUCCGCGUGUAGCAGUGAAAUGCGUAGAUAUGCGGAGGAACACCGAUGGCGAAGGCAAUCCCCUGGACCUGUACUGACGCUCAUGCACGAAAGCGUGGGGAGCAAACAGGAUUAGAAACCCCUGUAGUCCC
rnacentral:rRNA from 1 species